UACGUAGGGUCCGAGCGUUGUCCGGAAUUAUUGGGCGUAAAGAGCUCGUAGGCGGUUUGUCGCGUCUGCUGUGAAAUCCCGAGGCUCAACCUCGGGCCUGCAGUGGGUACGGGCAGACUGGAGUGCGGUAGGGGAGAAUGGAAUUCCUGGUGUAGCGGUGAAAUGCGCAGAUAUCAGGAGGAACACCGGCGGCGAAGGCGGGUCUCUGGGCCGAUACUGACGCUGAGGAGCGAAAGCGUGGGGAGCGAACAGG
rnacentral:rRNA from 1 species